UAGUAAUAUGUAGCUGUCAUAUCAAGUC
rnacentral:piRNA from 1 species